GACGAACCGAGCGAACGUUAUUCGGAAUCACUGGGCUUAAAGGGUGCGUAGGCGGGCACGUCAGUCAGGGGUGAAAUCCCACGGCCCAACCGUGGAAGUGCCUCUGAUACUGCGUGCCUAGAGGGGGACAGGGGCAUGCGGAACUUCCGGUGGAGCGGUGAAAUGCGUAGAUAUCCGGAGGAACACCGACGGCGUAGGCAGCGCCCUGGACGACACCUGACGCUGAGGCACGAAAGCUGGGGGAGCGAACAGG
rnacentral:rRNA from 1 species